rnacentral:rRNA from 1 species
AGAGUUUGAUCUUGGCUCAGAACGAACGCUGGCGGCGUGCUUUAUACAUGCAAGUCGAGCGGAGAUUUACUCAUUCCCAACUAGCGCUUGCGUUAUGAAGGUUUGAGUUAAUCUUAGCGGCGAACGGGUGAGUAACACGUGGGUAAUCUACCCCUGAGACUGGGAUAACACUGCGAAAGUAGUGCUAAUACCGGAUAAUGUUACUCUGCAUAAGUAGGGUAACCAAGGGUUGCGUAAGCAUCUGCUCAGGGAGGAACCUGCGCCCUAUCAGCUUGUUGGUGAGGUAACGGCUCACCAAGGCAACGACGGGUAGCCGGCCUGAGAGGGCGAUCGGCCACACUGGGACUGAGACACGGCCCAGACUCCUACGGGAGGCAGCAGUAGGGAAUAUUCCGCAAUGGGCGAAAGCCUGACGGAGCGACGCCGCGUGAGGGAUGAAGGCUUUCGGGUCGUAAACCUCUGUUAAGAGGGACGAUGUCUGCCUUCGGGCGGAUGACGGUACCUCUAGAGAAAGCCCCGGCUAACUACGUGCCAGCAGCCGCGGUAAGACGUAGGGGGCGAGCGUUGUUCGGAAUUACUGGGCGUAAAGCGUGCGUAGGCGGUUGAAUAAGUCACGGGUGAAAUCUCUGCUCCCAAGGCAGAAACUGUCCGUGAAACUGUACAACUUGAGGGCAAGAAGGGAAAGCGGAACUCUGGGAGUAGCGGUGAAAUGCGUAGAUACCCAGAGGAAGGCCAGUAGCGAAGGCGGCUUUCUGGCUUGCUCCUGACGCUGAGGCACGAAAGCUAGGGUAGCGAUCGGGAUUAGAGACCCCGGUAGUCCUAGCCGUAAACGAUGGGUACUAGGUGUGGGGGGAGUAUUACCCUCCGUGCCGAAGCUAACGCGUUAAGUACCCCGCCUGGGGAGUACGGUCGCAAGGCUGAAACUCAAAAGAAUUGACGGGGGGCUGAACUAGUGGAGCACGUGGUUCAAUUCGAUGCAAAGCGAAGAACCUUACCAGGGCUUGACAUGUUGGUAGUAGCUGCCUGAAAGGGCGUGCGAUCUCGACUAACGUUGAGAAGCCAUCACAGGUGGUGCAUGGCUGUCGUCAGCUCGUGCCGUGAGGUGUUGGGUUAAGUCCCUUAACGAGCGCAACCCUUGCCCUUAGUUGCCAGCGGAUAAUGCCGGGCACUCUAAGGGGACCGCCGCCUGAAAGCGGAGGAAGGUGGGGAUGACGUCAAGUCAUCACGCCCCUUAUGUCCUGGGCUACACACGUGCUACAAUGGUACGCACAAUGGGAAGCGACUUCGCGAGGAGAAGCAAAUCCCCCAAAGCGUGCCUCAGUUCGGAUUGCAGGCUGCAAUUCGCCUGCAUGAAGCUGGAAUUACUAGUAAUCGCGGAUCAGCAACGCUGCGGUGAAUACGUUCUCAGCC